GUUUUAAUCUUUUAAAAAAUAAUAAUAAUAAGUGAAUAUGCUGCUUUUGCUGCUGAUCAGGCAUCAUUUAGAAGAAAAGACAACAAUGCUGAACAAGGUUGAAGUGACUAGGAAAAGAGAACCAUGUUACAGGUGGAUCCAUUGAGAGCCAGUAUGAUCUACAGACUUGAGUGUUGUAAUACAACUCUGGUGACCAGGGUUUGAAUCUUUAUAUGGCCAUGAAAAUCCAUUGGUGAUGUUGGUCACAUCACACAGCCUCAGCCUCAGAGGAAGGCAAAGGAUUGCAAAAAAACAGUUUUAAUUAAUGCCAGUGCUACCUUCCAAUAAAGACAGUGGCAGAGAAAACAGCAAACUACCAUGUUUGAUUGAUGCACAUAAGCAAUCAUGAUGAACCACAUCUUAGCCCAGAUGUUUAAAACAGUUAAGCACUAAAACAGAAGAUAUGAAGACUUGGUACAAUUUCAGAAAGACAAGGCAUGGAAAUACCCAAACUAUUUCGAAGUCUUCAUUGUGCAGUUUAAAGUUAUGUAAAUCAUUUGUGGUCAUUGUUUUCUUAAUGUUCAACAGUAUAUCUGUCUUUGCAAUUUCUUCAGUAAUCAUUCCAAGUCUUGUUAUCUGCAUGUCUUAAAUUGUUCCUUCCUCCGUAUUCAUGUUUUCUUCUUCUCAGCUUAAUCAUUUUCAAUGAUAAGUUCAGUCAACUUUAAAUUUUAUCCUUGUACUGUUUUGCUAUAUCUCUCCUCACUAUAAAUGCCACCUUAUUUCUUCUAAGAUUUUCACUUCCUGAGUAAAAUGCUGCUUAAUUAUCUUACUCAAAGUGUUCUUUCUUGUUCACUUUAGCUCAUUCACCUCAAGUAUUGCAACGUUUAUACAUCCCAUGUCCUAUUUAAUUGCCUAGUGUUCUCUAAUUCAUGCUUCUGACAUUCCAUGUUCCUAUAAUAUGUAUUGUGCAGCUUUGGACUUUCCUCUGAGGAUUUAGCCAUGGCAGUUAAACAGGUGCCAAAUUGCAUUCUCCAGCAUAGAUGCACCCUGAGUCAGUACAAGUCUUAUACAAGGAUGAGCAAAUCCUGGAAGUCUAGGCAUCGAUAUCCAUCCACCUACUACUGACUUGGGGCACACAAGUCUUCUCAUCCCAAAUAAAAACACAAUUCGAAAUGGUGGGACAUUUCAGCCUUGCAGUUUUUCAAGACAAAGGUCUUCAUCAGACGGAGCUGUGGAAAGUGAGGGAAAUAGUUGUCUUUGUGUGUAGAAUUGUCUUCUUUGCCUAUGGGACUUUGCUGUUUUGAUUCCUGGUUUCUUGUGCCCUGGUCCAUGGAAUUGUUAUGGAACUGUGGAUUGGAUUUUCUGCUGAAACUCUAAAUUUUUGGAUUGAUUCUUUUUUUACUAUUUGUAUUGCUUUGCCUUUAGAUAGUCUACAAUAAACUGCUUGCUGAUUUAACCAAAUUGGUGUGCUGUUUACAGUCAAAGGGAUCCUGCCUCGGAGUGUGACAGAUUUUGUCUUUAAAGAAGACAUAGAAUUUACUUACCCAUAUCACAGAGGAUUGCCUCUGUCCACCUCUAGCUCAACCAUCCAUAAAGGAAACCCAAGAAACUAUUCUUAAGACAGUCACCACUUCUAUGGGUUCCUUUACUUUCCCUCUCAAUCCCCUUACUCUAGAGGAGAUCCAAGGCACUCUUCUAACUUUUUAUAGUUGGUAUAAAAAGGAACAAAAAGUUUUAAAGCUAUUUAUCAUGCAAAUUUGAAAGCCUAGAUUACUUAUGAAGGAAAAAAUGCAGCCAAAGCAAAGUGGUGAUAUUUUACAAUUGCGCUAUUCCUUAGGAUGAUUUUUUUUAAAUGUUCCAGGCUCAUGCAGAAAGAUUUUGUAAAAGAAGUGACACAUAGGAGACCGCCUAUAUGAACAUCAAUUCUUCCACAUCACAGAAAAGAUUGAUGUCUAGAAAAGCUCUAGAAGUGAAUGUAUCUCACCUUUUUUUAUGCUAUAGCCAUCUUCAGUUUAUAUCUAAUAGUGCAAUUCAUUUUAUCCCAGCUGUCACAAUCUUUCUGAAUUCUUUUUAAUGGGUAUUUAUUUCCUCCUAGAUAAAAAUGAAACAUGUUAUCCUAAUUCAUCCUAGGGGACUGGCCUAAGACAUUAUUUCAUUAUGUCAGGGCCUUUUCUGUUUAAUGUGUUUGCUUUGCCUGUCUCAAUGGCUCCAUAUGCAAGGUGUAAAUUUAAGCGAGGUUAAAUUGGCACCAUUCUCUCUCUUUCC
ensembl:lncRNA